CUGGAACUGAGACACGGUCCAGACUCCUACGGGAGGCAGCAGUGGGGAAUAUUGCACAAUGGGCGCAAGCCUGAUGCAGCCAUGCCGCGUGUGUGAAGAAGGCCUUCGGGUUGUAAAGCACUUUCAGCAGUGAGGAAGGCGGGUACGUUAAUAGCGUGCUCGUUUGACGUUAGCUGCAGAAGAAGCACCGGCUAACUCCGUGCCAGCAGCCGCGGUAAUACGGAGGGUGCGAGCGUUAAUCGGAAUUACUGGGCGUAAAGCGCAUGCAGGUGGUUUGUUAAGUCAGAUG
rnacentral:rRNA from 1 species